AAUAAAUUACUGAAGCAUUUGAAAGAAAAUUUGGUAAAUUAUGAAAAUAUUUUAAGGACGUUUCACUCCGAAAAUUGUAAUAAGAUUUAGAUCUGUGAUUUACAAAUUUCCUCUUAUAAAAAUAAAUUUAUUUUUAGAAUAAUAAUUUUUUAGAAUAUUGUGAAGUGAAUCAUCUUAGUAACAAUAAAAAAAUCAAACGAUAAAGUAUUAGUAGUGGCGAUUGAAAAUACAAAUUAAGCGAAAACGAUCAUAUAAAAUUCAAAUUUUAAAAUUAACUAAAAAAGGUAAAAGUCCUUGUAAAAAUUUAAAUUAUUGAUUAAAUAAAUAAAGUAAUGAGUAAAUCCAAUUCAUGAAUAUUUUUAAGGAGGACCACCUUCUAAGCUUAAAAACAUAAUUUAACCGAUAGUAAAUGAGUACUGUGAAGGAAAAUUGAAAAAAAUUGAAAAAUUAUAUAAAAUUGAAUGUUUAUAAAUUACCUGAAAUUAAUUAUUACAGGAUACUUUUUGCAGAACGAAUCAGCAAGUUAAUUUUUAUAGUAAAGUUUACAAAUAAUUUAGUGCAAAAAAGUUAUAAAAAUUAAACCUGAAACCAAGUGAUCUAACUAUUAACAAGUUGAUUUUAAUGUGAUAAUUAAAUAAAGACUGAACUUCUAUAUGUAGCAAAAUAUAAAGAUGAUUAAUAGUUAGGAGUGAAAGGCUAAUCAAACUUGGUAAUAGCCGGUUUUUCACGAAAUGUAUUUUAGUACAGCAUUAAAAUAAAAUUAAUUAAGGUAAAGUUCAAAAAUAAGUAAAUUAUUUUUAACUUAAGAAUUUAAUUAAUAAUAUUUAAUAGUCAGUUUAAGAGCGAUAAGGUUUUUGAGACUAAAGGAAAACAAUCCAGAUUAAACGUUAAGGUAUUAAAUUAUAGUUAAUGAAAAAAUUUUUUAGAAUUCAAAUAAUUCAAAAUAGGCUUAGAAGCAGCCUUUUAUUAGAGAAAGCGUUUUAGCUCAUUAUUAUUUUCUAUUUAAAUUUAAAAUUAAAUGAUUUUAAACUAUAAACCGAAACUUUAAAUUAUUUUUUUAAUAAUGGUAGUGAAACUUUUUGUGAUAAUAUCCUUAAAAAUAUUGAAAAAUAUAAAGUAUUAAACAAAAGUGAUAAUGCUGAUAUGAGUAACGAAAAUUAUGUUUAAUCAUAAUCAUUUAAAAUUUUAAAUAAAAAGGUUUUCAAUGUAAUUUUAUAUUCGUUGAGUGAAUCGGUUCCUAAGAAUAAACUUAAUAGUAAUUUUUGAUGGAUAUUAAUAAAUAAUUUAUUAUUUGUUUUUUAAUAUAAAACUUUUAAAGAAAAUAACAAAUCAAGAUUUAAUUUAUUAAUAAUGAUAAAAAUUAAAUCUUGAUUUAUUAUCGAGAAAAACUCAAUGAGAAAAACCGUACUUAAUCCGACACAGGUUUAAUAAAUGUUUGAAAGAAUUAUAUUAAAGGAACUUGGCAAAUUAACUCUGUAUGUUCGCUAAAAAGAGUGUCUUUUACUAAUAGAUAGCAUAAAAAGAAAGCAACGACUGGUUAACAAAACCACAAGACUCUGCUAAAUUUUAAUAAAGAUGUAUAGGGUUUGAGGCCUGCCCAGUGCUUAAAAAUGAAAUAUUUUAUUAAAUGUUUGAGUAAAAUAAUAAAUUUAAGUAAACGGCGGUUCUAACUAUAAGAAUCCUUAGGUAGCGAAAUUCCUUGGCGGGUAAAUUCCGUCCUGCAUGAAUGGUUUAACGAUUGCUUUACUGUCUCUAAUAUAAAUUCAGUGAAAUUACAUUAUCCAUGAAAAUGUGGAUUACUUACAAUAAGACGGAAAGACCCUAGAUCCUUUACUUUUAUUUUACAUUGUAAGGGUAAAAAAAUUAAUGUAGUAUAGUUGGGAGCUAAUAGUUUAUUUGAAAUACCAAUUUAUUUUUAUUGUUCUUACUUACGAAUUAAUAAAUUUUUAGAUAGUGUAAAAAAGAAAGUUUACUUGGGAUGAGUACCUCCAAAAAAGUAACGGAGGUGUACUAAGGUAAGUUCAUAUUUUAAUAAUAAAGUAUAAUAACAAAAAUUUGCCUGACAAUAAAAUAUAUAAAUUAAGUUGAGACGAAAGUCAGUUAUAGUGACCCGAAUUUUAGAGUGGAAUAAAAAUUCGUUCAACAGUUAAAAGGAACUCUAGGGAUAACAGAUUCAUCAUGGUUAAAAGUUCGUAUUGAAAUCAUGGUUUGAUACCUCGAUGUCGACUCAUCUUAUCCUGAAGUUGAAGAAUAUUUCAAGGGUCUAGUUGUUCGCUAGUUAAAAAGGUACGUGAGUUGGGUUCAGAACGUCGUGAGACAGUUCGGUCCCUAUCUAUUGUAAGUUAAAUGAAAAAUUAAAAGAAUUAUUUCUAGUACGAGAGGACCGAAAUAUAUUAACCUAUUGUAAAUUGAUUAAACAUAAUUUUAAAUUCUUGUUUAUUGUCAAGUAGCUACGUUAGUUUAUUUUAAAUACUGAAAGAAUAAAAAAGUAUAAAAAUAACUUUUAAUUAUUUUUCUUAAUGUUUUAAAAGAAUAUUAAAUAGAUCGGUUCAAUUUAUAUUUUUAGUAAUAAAAAAAUUAUGAAUACGAAUUUAUAACAUUUAUUUAAAUU
rnacentral:rRNA from 1 species